AGUGAACGCUGGCGGUGGGCCUAACACAUGCAAGUCGAACGGCAGCACAGUAAGAGCUUGCUCUUACGGGUGGCGAGUGGCGGACGGGUGAGGAAUACAUCGGAAUCUACUUUUUCGUGGGGGAUAACGUAGGGAAACUUACGCUAAUACCGCAUACGACCUACGGGUGAAAGCAGGGGAUCUUCGGACCUUGCGCGAUUGAAUGAGCCGAUGUCGGAUUAGCUAGUUGGCGGGGUAAAGGCCCACCAAGGCGACGAUCCGUAGCUGGUCUGAGAGGAUGGUCAGCCACACUGGAACUGAGACACGGUCCAGACUCCUACGGGAGGCAGCAGUGGGGAAUAUUGGACAAUGGGCGAAAGCCUGAUCCAGCCAUACCGCGUGGGUGAAGAAGGCCUUCGGGUUGUAAAGCCCUUUUGUUGGGAAAGAAAAGCAGCAGGUUAAUACCCCGCUGUUCUGACGGUACCCAAAGAAUAAGCACCGGCUAACUUCGUG
rnacentral:rRNA from 1 species